AGGGCACACUUAGAAUUCACGCAUUUAUUCAAUUCACUCUGCGAAAUCUUCCCGUCGUUGCCGUUGCCACUCCAGCCCGUCGCCGCCGUUCGCCGCUCCAGCUCCGUCGCCGCCGUUCGCCGCUCCUGCUCCGUCGCCGCCGAUCGCCGCUCCAGCUCCAGCUCCGUUGUCGUCGCCCACUGUGCUCGAUCCACGCUGGUGCCUCGGUGUCCUUACGGGCACAGAUUUACGCUUUUCAUUCUGAGUGCGCGAAUCCUCCCCGCCGUAGCCGUCGCCACUCCAGCACGUCGCCCGCUCCAUUUUGCAACAACCGCGGUCGCCACUGCCACCAUGUGGCGGAAGAGAAGCCUGCGGUUGAUGAUUUCAAAGCCCUUGCCAUAGUUGAAAAGCCUGAAGAAAUUGAGGAGAGUAAACGUGAAGGAUCUAUGGGCAGAGGUACUCACUCUCACAGAUUUCAUUUUACUGGAAAUUCUUGUCUUGUGAAGAGAGUGAGAAGUCAAAAGCAGAAAACAAAAACAUCUACUAUGUUCAUAUCACAUAUUUGAUGUUUGCCUUACUACUGCGCGGCUGAAGCAGAUAAGUCAUUUGGACGCAACAUAUCCGAUGCUCAUUACAAAGUUUGUUUUAUGCUGGGAUGAACAUAAGUGGUACUAAUGGGGAGGUUAUCCCAGUGGGGGUUUCAAGUUGGUCCAAGUGUUGGGAUUAAAGCCGGAGACCACAUCUGGUGCGCAAGAUACCUGCUUGAGAGAAUUGCAGAACCAACUGGAGUUGUGCUCACUAUAGAUCCAAAACCAAUUGAUCUAUUGUCAAUUUGACGGUAGCUAGCUAAUCUAUUCUUGAUCGUUUGAUGGUUUAGGGACUGGAAGGGAGUAGAAUGUCACACCUAUUACAGACUUCAGCACCCUGAGCAUGAGAGAGGAAUUUCCAAGUGAACCAUCAGUGCAUGCGGAAAAGAGAAACGAGCGAAGGCUGACAGGAAAACACGAGACUGCCCGAACUGAAGAUUAUUCUACAUGAACAUAACGUUAUUUUGUUAUUAACUAAGUUUUAGAAUUUGCACUUAUACUCAAUUCUAUUAAACUUUGGUGUUAUGAGUAAUUUUGAGUAAUUAACGAGUAUUCGAGUA